CUCCUCAGGAAUCGGUUGAUUGAC
rnacentral:sRNA from 1 species